UGGGGAAUCUUGGACAAUGGGCGAAAGCCUGAUCCAGCAAUGCCGCGUGCAGGAUGAAGGCCUUCGGGUUGUAAACUGCUUUUGUACGGAACGAAAAGCUUCGGGUUAAUACCCUGGAGUCAUGACGGUACCGUAAGAAUAAGCACCGGCUAACUACGUGCCAGCAGCCGCGGUAAUACGUAGGGUGCAAGCGUUAAUAGGAAUUACUGGGCGUAAAGCGUGCGCAGGCGGUCUUGUAAGACAGAGGUGAAAUCCCCGGGCUCAACCUGGGAACUGCCUUUGUGACUGCAAGGCUGGAGUGCGGCAGAGGGGGAUGGAAUUCCGCGUGUAGCAGUGAAAUGCGUAGAUAUGCGGAGGAACACCGAUGGCGAAGGCGAUCCCCUGGGCCUGCACUGACGCUGAUGCACGAAAGCGUGGGGAGCAAACAGG
rnacentral:rRNA from 1 species